rnacentral:rRNA from 1 species
GUUGAACGCUGGCGGCAUGCCUAACACAUGCAAGUCGAGCGGAUGAACGGGGCGUUUGCCUGGCUGCAGCUACCGACGGACGAGUGAGUCCUACGAAGCUGCCUUAUCUUUAAGGAUAAGGUCAGUAAACGGAAGCUAAUAUCAUAUAGGUUCUUAUGUUGAACGGCGUGGUUCUUCGGACCUCGCCCUUUUUGCUGUCCCUAGGUCGUGUUAGCUAGUUGGUUUGGUAAAGGCCUACCAAGGCGACGAUCCGUAACUGAUCUGAGAGGAUGAUCAGCCACACUGGAACUGAGACACGGUCCAGACUCCUACGGGAGGCAGCAGUGGGGAAUAUUGGACAAUGGGCGAAAGCCUGACGGAGCAACGCCGCGUGUGUGAAGAAGGUCUUCGGAUUGUAAAGCACUUUAAGUAGGGAAGAAGAGAAGUAAGAUAAAACAUGGAUGUUUUGACGUUACCAAAAGAAAAAGCAACGGCUAACUUCGUG